CCUACGGGAGGCAGCAGUGGGGAAUAUUGCACAGUGGGGGAAACCCUGAUGCAGCAACGCCGCGUGAGCGAUGAAGGCCUUCGGGUCGUAAAGCUCUGUUGUUAGGGAAGAACAAGUACCGGAGUAACUGCCGGUACCGUGACGGUACCUAACCAGAAAGCCACGGCUAACUACGUGCCAGCAGCCGCGGUAAUACGUAGGUGGCAAGCGUUGUCCGGAAUUAUUGGGCGUAAAGGGUGCGUAGGCGGCCCUUCAAGUCAGAGGUGAAAGGCUACGGCUCAACCGUAGUAAGCCUUUGAAACUGUAGGGCUUGAGUGCAGGAGAGGAGAGUGGAAUUCCCAGUGUAGCGGUGAAAUGCGUAGAUAUUGGGAGGAACACCAGUUGCGAAGGCGGCUCUCUGGACUGUAACUGACGCUGAGGCACGAAAGCGUGGGGAGCGAACAGGAUUAGAUACCCCUGUAGUC
rnacentral:rRNA from 1 species